CCUACGGGAGACAGCAGUGAGGAAUAUUGGUCAAUGGACGAGAGUCUGAACCAGCCAAGUAGCGUGAAGGAUGAUUGCCCUAUGGGUUGUAAACUUCUUUUAUAUGGGAAUAAAACGUUCCACGUGUGGGAUUUUGUAUGUACCAUAUGAAUAAGGAUCGGCUAACUCCGUGCCAGCAGCCGCGGUAAUACGGAGGAUCCGGGCUUUUUCCGGAUUUAUUGGGUUUAAGGGGAGCGUAGGUGGAUUGUUAAGUAAGUUGUGAAAGUUUGCGGCUCAACCGUAGAAUUGCAGUUGAAACUGGCAGUCUUGAGUACAGUAGAGGUGGGCGGAAGUCGUGGUGUAGCGGUGAAAUGCUUAGAUAUCACGAAGAACUCCGAUUGCGAAGGCAGUUCACUGGACUGCAACUGACACUGAGGCUCGAAAGUGUGGGUAUCAAACAGGAUUAGAUACCCGUGUAGUC
rnacentral:rRNA from 1 species